UACGUAGGGGGCUAGCGUUGUCCGGAUUUAUUGGGCGUAAAGAGCGUGUAGGCGGCCAGGUAGGUCUGCUGUGAAAACUCGAGGCUCCAACCUCGAGACGUCGGCGGAAACCAUCUGGCUAGAGUCCGGAAGAGGCGAGUGGAAGUUCCUGGUGUAGCGGUGGAAUGCGCAGAUAUCAGGAGGAACACCAAUAGCGAAGGCAGCUCGCUGGGACGUACUGACACUGAGGCGCGAAAGCGUGGAGAGCGAACAGGAUUGAA
rnacentral:rRNA from 1 species